AUCAUUCUGCUGUGUGUCUCAGCAUGGCUGGCUGCAAACAGAAAUUCUGAAGAUCACCUGAGACGGGAGACCCAACAGAACCUGACCCGGAUGCUGGAAGACGCCAAUCAGAGGGUGCAAUGUCUGAGAACGGCCAUAUUAGUGGAAGAUCAGUUCGGUGAGUGUCCCCUGGGAUGGACGAUGAUGAAUCAGAAAUGUUAUUUCCUCUCCACUGAUAAUGGGACGA